rnacentral:rRNA from 2 species
GAGCCAGCCGCCUAAGGUGGGAUAGAUGAUUGGGGUGAAGUCGUAACAAGGUAGCCGUAUCGGAAGGUGCGGCUGGAUCACCUCCUUUCUAAGGAA